UGGAGUAGAUGAGCGUAUCCUGAGUUCAGCAAAUCAAUUUCAUGUUGCUUGGAAACUCAGGAAAACCAGCCAACUGUUCACAGCACGGGAUGAGAGUCGUAAUGAAUAAGUACUGCCCAAAGGGAAGCGAAAUCCAGGAGCUGAGUGAAGGAGUCACAGUGGAAGGAUGGGAAAUUGUCUCCGGAGAGAACUCAGAUGAAGUGUGAUGACAAAGUGGGAAACCACCUCCAAAGCUAGGUACCCUUGGCUUCAGGAAUAUUGCAACCCAGCAAGGGAAAGCCUGUGUGUACGGAAGGGACAGAAUCAGCCUACAGCAUAGAGAUGGUAAAGCCAAGAAGCAGGACCUUCAGAGUGUAUAUCUCACCUUGUCCUGGGAGCAGAAAUUCAAGGCAUGUGAAGAAGAUCAAAGAAGCCAACUCCACCUGCCAGCCCAUGGACAUGGAUUAUACCAGACCUAACUCUUCUGUGUACUGCCGACACUGUGGCUAACACAUUUUACAGCCAGUGUCCUCAAGGAGUUUGUAUUAUAACACAGGGAGGCAAACAUCAAAGCACAUACAAGUUAAUAAAUAAAUGAUAGCAAUGAUAAACUGAUGCAAGAAAGGUAAUAAGAGAGUUAUAUUUGUGAUAAAAUAGAGAUAAUUAACCUGACUUAAUAAUUUCCUGUCUGAACCAAUUAUCAGAAACUAUCCAAUUCCCUUUAUUUCUGAUUGUAUGAUCUCCAAGUAGAAGAUGAAGUUGAAAAUGAAGUUUGGGAUUUGAUGAUGAAGGAUUUUCAAAAGCACAUAAGAAGUGAUGAAGCAGUAUCCUUGUAUGGGUUCAAGAAUGAUUGAUAAAUUCUAUAUUUGUCUUCAUGUGUAAGGUUGAAUGGCAGAGACAGACAAAGUUAAGGAGCUCUUUAAGUAUUUCAAGCAAGGGUUGAUGACUAGCUGAAAUUCAGCAGGGGCCACAAAAAUAAAAAGGAGGUUCAGUGAAAGUAACUGUAUUUCAAAUGUUUCAUCUUGAAGUUUUUCAGUCAUAUAGAUCACAGAUGGGUUGUUAGAGAAGGUUAAAAUUAUUCCCCUUAGUUAAGUUUAUACCCCACUGCUCUCUGGUACCUUUCCAUCAUUAGAGAAUCUUGGAGUAUACUGUAUACCCCCUGAGGAGUGUGUGGUAUGGAGGCAGCGAGAGAAGCAAUCAGUCUUAGUGGUCACUCAACAUUUCCAACUUCCUCCUGCAACUGUCAAAUACGUCCACAUCAAAUCUACCAGAUGGAGGAAACUGAAAUGAUAAGAAACAGCAUCCACCCAGCCGGUGAAUCACUUCCCUUUCUCUGUGAUAGCAUGUUUAACUCUCUCCAGAUCCAGUAGUUACCCAAAAGCAACAUCUAUAAGACUUAUGCCAGGUUUUCCUGAUUUUACUCUCCGUCACUCUAGCCCAAUGAUGUUGAAGGGAAAAGGGAAACGGCAUUUAUCUAAAGUAUGCAGUCCUUGGGUGGUGCAAAUCGUUAAUGCUGUCAGUUGCCAAAGUUGGAGGUUUGAGUCCAGUCAGAAGCAUCUUGGAGGAAAGGCUGGGUGAUCUACUUCUGAAAAAUCAGUCACUGAAAACCCUAGAGAGCACGGUUCUACUCUGACACACAUGGGGUGGCCAUGAGUUGGAAUUGACUCGGUGGCCGCCUGUUUAAAGUAUGACAAGCACGUCAUGCAGCUGAAUUUCAUGUAAACUGGGGAUAACAGCACUAACGGAGGAAGCGUCGUUAUCCCCAUUUCGCGAGUUAUGGAAGCUAGGGUAAGAGGGGUUCAGUCUCAAGGUGAAAAGAGGUAGUUUGAUCUGACUAGUCAUGAACCAAGCUGGGCUAAUCUCGUUUCCUCAUGGGUCUUUGACUCUUUCUUCCCUACAGUCUACCUGCAAUGCUACUGUUGCAGUCAUAUUUCAGACCCUUAAUAAGGGCAUUACCACUCUUCUGCUUCAAAAUAUCUGAAGAAUUUUCACGACAAUGUCAUAAAAUCCAAACUCUUUCCAUGAACACCAGCUUCUAUCACUUCCCUCGUAUUUCAUAUGCACAGCUACACUGUCUUUCCUUCUGUUUUUUAAAAGCACCAUACCCUUCCCUGCCUCAGGGACUUUGUCUAUGCUCUUCCCUAUGAUAUAGAAGUCUUCUGCCAGAGCUCUGAAGGGCUGCCUCCUUCCCACAAUUAGGCUCCAGAUCCAAUGCCACCUCUUCAGAGAGGCUGUAUCUACUCUGUCCCACCUUAUUGAAGGUGGCCUGUCCCCUCUCAAAGCCACUCAUUGCUAUUUUAUUAUAUUCAUAGCUAAUAUAACCGUCUAAAAUCAUAUUGUGUAUUUCUUUUUUUUAUUUUAUUUAUGCUGUCUGUUUUUCCUUGGAGAUUUAUAGUUUCAUGAAGAUCUGUACCCUGUCCGUCUUGUUAAUCUUUGAGCCCUAGUAACUAAAAGUAAAUAAUAAUGGUACUCAAUAAAACUUUGUUAAACAAAUGGGUCUGUCUAUCUAUCUAUCUGCACUGUGUGUGUACGUUCACAUCACAAACACAAGACAACUAACAAUAAUGGGGCAAUUAAUAGUGACACAAAAUAAACCUAUUAAUUAUACAUUUAUGGGUUUAUAGUUCUUAACCAUCUUAUAUAUCUUAUGAUCUCUAGAUAAUGUAGUUUUUCAAAUAUGAUCCUUUUAAGGAAGCAUCAAUAAUGGAAAAUGUAUACACCCACUCCUCACUUAUCUAUAUGGUUAGGUUCCAAAGACCAGGUCGUUGUGCAAAAAUCAGCAUUAU